AUUGAACGCUGGCGGCAGGCCUAACACAUGCAAGUCGAACGAGUGGCGGACGGGUGAGUAAUGUCUGGGAAACUGCCUGAUGGAGGGGGAUAACUACUGGAAACGGUAGCUAAUACCGCAUACCAUCGGAUGUGCCCAGAUGGGAGUAGCUAGUGGGUGGGGUAACGGCUCACAAAGGCGACGAUCCCUAGCUGGUAUGAGAGGAUGACCAGCCAAACUGGAACGGAGACACGUUCCAGACUCCUACGGGAGGCAGCAUGGGUGAAAAUGGCAUAAUGGGCGCAAGCCUGAUGUAGCCAUGCCGCGUGUAUGAAGAAGGCCUUCGGGUUGUAAAGGACUUUCAGCGGGGAGGCGUUACCCGCAGAAGAAGCACCGGCUAACUCCGUGCCAGCAGCCGCGGUAAUUC
rnacentral:rRNA from 1 species